GCCUUUGGUUCAGUGGUAGAAUGCUCGCCUGCCACACGGGCGCCCCCCGGGUUCGAUUCCCUGCCGAUGCAUUUUUUUUUUACAAUUUUUAAAACUCAUUUAUAUAUUAUAGUGGCGGGUGCCCCGGGUUCGAUUCCCGGCCGAUGCA
rnacentral:tRNA from 1 species